UACUAUCCCAGUAGGUAAUGUUAAACUCUUUCAUACAUUUCACUAACAUUAAUAAAAAACAUCAUACAACUAUUAGUUUGCAAGGUAAAUUAGAAAACCACAGCCUAAAUGGCGUAAUAGAAAAUAAAGACUGCCACUUUACUUAAGCUGCCGCCCAGCUGCUUAAUGCCACAAAGUAAUUCUUCUCUAUUUUGGAAAUUGCUCAAGAUGUAGCCACUUGGGCGCCCAGUUGUGGUCAGGUGGCGAAGACGAUGGUGGUUGCUUGACCCACUUGUACCCGCCAGAAUGACCCGUCAAAUGGGCGUUCAAUUUCAGUUAAUUGCGCAAAUUAAUUGCGCUGGCCUUGGGGCCGAAAGCCGAGGAGGCGCUCCGCUCUGCCCUGCCUUGGCGGAGAGUUUUCCAGCAAAUUUUACCCCACAACGAUGGCUAAUUUCGGUUUUUCACGAAUUUCCCGAACGAAACGAGUACACACGGGCACAGCAGCAACAACAACUUGGCCACAACAUGGCAACAGCAACGGCAAAGGCUGGAAAACAACACCAAAAGUGGCAAAAGUGGCAGAAGAGGGCCAAGCAUGCAUCGCAGGGGGAAGUGGAAACUGGACGUUUCGCAUGAACGCUUCGCUGGCUCCAGUUGGUUGUAGGUUGUUGCUAGCUGGUUAACUGGUUGCCGCACGGCAAAGAGAUAGAACAAGAGGCACCGGUCUGCGGAACAGGAGCUACCCUGCAAGCUUUCUAACACAUUAGGAAAAGCAAAUCGCGAAUUCUUUAGAGAUAGAACAUUUUUUGAAACCAGAAAAUUGAAAACUGAAUUCUUCAGAACUAACUCCUCUUUAAUCCUUGGGUAUCAAACCGGCAAGCUGAUGUGGCACAUGCAGCGAAAAUUCUAGAAGCUGCUGAUUGCUGGCUAAUGGCAUUACGGCCAUCUGAGCCCAGGGAACGACGUCCUUUGUCAUCUCAUCUCGACCCUUCCCGUGUUUCUUAUGCAAUUGUGACUCAAUUUGGGGACGGAAAGUGGAGGCCCACGGCUGGGAAAGCAGCGGAGGAGGAAAGCGGAAGUCUUUGUGUGUCGUCUCACCAGAAAACAAUCAACUCUCACUUAAGUGGGACCUCAGUGGAGUGGAUCGAAGUGAAUUGCAAUGAAGUGGAGUGGCGGGGGCUGGAUUAGAGGAGCUCCUCCUCCCACAACGGCUGACCCGUGACCAACGGAGCAGCGCCGAGCAGCUGAGGACGACUUCCGCCGGCGGCUAAAUGAUCUGUGAAGCUGCGACUCCGCAGCGGAAAUCAACAGGAGGUUGUCUGACCUUACACGGCUUGUAAGCCAUCUCGAAACAGAAAGGCCAUCGGUACAGAGGGAAAAACAAACGAGAUAAUCAGCAGCUAAGUUUAGGACCACUUCAAAGUUGCACUAUUAUACUAGUUCUACAAGCUAGUAUCUGGUACAAAGUGGUUUGUGGAGCCAUUGAACUGAUCAUCAUAAACUUGACUGUGCAGUAUCUUAUCAGAGCACAAUUGAAAUUACCAUUAGUCACUAUCUUUAAUCUGUCCAAAAUGAGUAGUACAGGCUAUGGUGACCACAAAACGUACUUAAAAUGAUGAUGAAAUUGAAUGAUGCUUGAAGUCACCCGAA